ACGCUUAUUAGCGGGGGCGCGCGGCGAAGUUUUUUUAUUAAACUUUAAUUUGUUAAUUUUCGACUUUUCGCUUGGCGGAGUCGCGGGGCGAAAACACGAAUGGCACAAAUCAGCCAACAUACGUUACACUCAUUGCUCAGUUCUUGUUUAUUAUAGGGACAGUGAUAUGAAAGUGUGUCUAUAAGCUUAUAGCUUCCUACACAACGAACUAAAAUAAAUUCUGCAUAAACCACACAGGUAACUUAACAAAUAUUGUGUUGUACUUUACGGGAUAUAAAGCGCAAUAAACUCGUCUAGUUAUGUACUCAACCAAAAUAUAAUCCCGUUUUCUCCAGUUCCUUAAUUGUUGAUGUUAAUCUUGAUAGUUACAUAUUUACUAAUAUUUUGACAUGAUAUUUUGAUAUAUAGUGAAUCCCAUUGUGUUCGUGCAAUUGCACUUGUAAUCCAGGACUUGGUGUUUAUGAUAAACAAUGUUGUUUAUUUCAAGAUAAAAUAGGAUUAAGUAGGAAAAGGAUUUCCUAUACUACUUACCAUGUACUACUUUAGCUGUAAGUUAUUAUAUAUUAUGCUAUAUAUAACGUGCUUCUGCUCGAAUUAUAUUAACCAACAGUUAUCAUUUACUGGAAGUUCGUGAAUAUCCACAGAGAGGGGCAAAGGGCGAUAAGAAAACGACUAUUUCUACAAAAAUACCAACCCAGUUCUACGCGAAUCUCUGAUAAAAUCAUAACCCUGAAGCAAAAAUGAUAAACUUUACGAGUCGGUGUUUACUGAUCAUGUUUGUGGCAUUUCUGGUGUUAGAAAGCAUUCCGCAUACGGACGGACAAUUAUGUACACAAGUUGGUCGUGCCUGCUUAGACACGUUCGAAGUUAUUAACGGGAGACGACGUAGACGCUGUUUUUCGUCUGGAAGAGGGAGGCGGUGCUCAAUGGUCGGAAGUGAAUGUCGAUGCAGGUCAUCUCGCAACAUGGGGGAUACAAAGAUUUAUAAUUCAACACUAUAUGUUUUAAAGAAAUAACACUUGCAAAGGUUGACAACGAAUUAAGAAAAA